CUCAGCUUCAAUUCAAAUCGAUCGUUGAAGAUCCGGCUUCAAUCGGAAGAUAUAUAUAAGUUUGAGUAAAUCGAUUUGGUUUCUAACAGAGAUCACAGUAAUUUGGAUUCAAUAACGAUUUGAGAAGAAGUCCUAGAGGAAGCAAAGUUACUGGCAUUUUUUGGAAUCUCUAUAUCCUAUCUCUAAACAGGUCAUAAAUUUUUUGUCUUCCUUUAUAUUCAAUUGAAGUAAAUUGUCCAUGUAGACGCAAUACACUCUUGCCUCAACUUGCUACUUGGAUGAUGUGUACUUUGCAUGAAUUGUGUGCGAAUAUUAGAUGUUUGGAUGUAUAUGUGGAUUUUUGUUUCAGUAUAUCUGAUAUUCUGAUAUUGCAUGAUUAUAAAAUUUCAUGUUAGUAUAUCUGUGAUUUCUUUUGUCUGCUGUGUGAAUAAUGUCUGCUUUCUAUCGAAUAGGUUUUUUCCAAUGUAAAUCCAACUGUCCUGGACCAAUUGAGGUCUGUUGACUGCAUUAUUUAUGCUAUGGGAUCCCUUUUUACAUCCAUUUGCCCAUCUUUGGUAACACUAUCAACCGAACUGUAACUUUUUUAGGACAACUUUUGCAAUUAUUAGUAGUUCUCUAUUUUUUUAUUUUUAGUAGGUAAGG